UAGAUGCGGAUACGCUCUCCGAGGCUCUGUCUGGGUGGCAGCGGGAGCUCAGGGCUCUGCCCGGGGAUGUACAGUCCCUUUCCACAGCGUCAGAGAUGAAGCGGGGCCCUGAGUCCACGCUCACAUAUUCCUACAGCUUCUCAGAGUCCCAAAGACAGUAAGUAAGGAAACAAACCAGGAAACAGUU
ensembl:snoRNA SNORA73 Small nucleolar RNA SNORA73 family